UACGAAGGUGUCUAACGUUGUCCGGAAUAACUGGGCGUAAAGGGCGCGUAGGCGGCCAUGUAAGUCAGAUGUGAAAGCUCCGGGCUCAACCCGGGAAUUGCAUUUGAAACUGCAUGGCUCGAGUUCGGUAGAGGAGGGCGGAAUUCCUGGUGUAGCGGUGAAAUGCGUAGAUAUCAGGAGGAACACCCGUGGCGAAGGCGGCUCUCUGGUCCGAUACUGACGCUGAGGCGCGAAAGCUAGGGUAGCAAACAGG
rnacentral:rRNA from 1 species